rnacentral:rRNA from 1 species
ACUCUAGUAAGACUGCCGGUGACAAACCGGAGGAAGGUGGGGAUGACGUCAAAUCAUCAUGCCCCUUAUGACCUGGGCUACACACGUGCUACAAUGGAUGGUACAACGAGUUGCGAGACCGCGAGGUCAAGCUAAUCUCUUAAAGCCAUUCUCAGUUCGGACUGUAGGCUGCAACUCGCCUACACGAAGUCGGAAUCGCUAGUAAUCGCGGAUCAGCACGCCGCGGUGAAUACGUUCCCGGGCCUUGUACACACCGCCCGUCACACCAUGAGAGUUUGUAACACCCGAAGCCGGUGGCGUAACCUUUUAGGAGCGAGCCGUCUAAGGUGGGACAAAUGAUUAGGGUGAAGUCGUAACAAGGUAGCCGUAUCGGAAGGUGCGGCUGGAUCACCUCCUUU